UUCGCAAUGCCCGAAAGGGUGACGAAGCGACGCCGCGUGUGGGAAGAAGGCCCUCGGGUUGUAAACCACUGUCGGGAGUUAAGAAAUGCAAGGGUGCUAAUAGUAUCCUUGCUUGACUAAGGCUCCGGAGGAAGCCACGGCUAACUCUGUGCCAGCAGCCGCGGUAAUACAGAGGCGGCAAGCGUUGUUCGGAAUUAUUGGGCGUAAAGAGCACGUAGGCGGCUAUGUAAGUCGGUUGUGAAAGCCUUCCGCUCAACGGAAGAACAGCAUCCGAUACUGCAUGGCUUGAGUGCGGGAGGGGAGAGUGGAACUUCUGGUGGAGCGGUGAAAUGCGUAGAUAUCAGUAGGAACGCCGGCGGCGAAAGCGGCUCUCUGGCCCAUAACUGACGCUGAGUGUGCGAAAGCUAGGGGAGCAAACGGGAUUAGAUACCCCGGUAGUCCUAGCCGUAAACGAUGGGCACUAAGUAGAGGGGUUUU
rnacentral:rRNA from 1 species